UUCUAUAAAUGUUCCUAGACUACCCGGCCAACCAAGCCAUCCAAAGGGGCACAUUGAUCUGGGUCGUCCAAUCCCGUCCGCACAGUAAGUUCACAGCCCCACUUUUCACAGCAGCCGUUGGAUGCAGUGAUUCCUUUUUACACAUGUGGCUUCUCUGAAUGGAUCAAUGACAGGUAGGACCGAGCUCUUGAGGGGCCGGCAGGCAGAGACAGAGACGCUGCUCGUUUUGGGUCGCUUUCCUUCACGCCCCCACGGGAAGCAGUAAAACCUAGAUCGCGCGAGGCACCCAAUCAGUCGCCUCUCCUGCCCAAUCCCCCGCACGAGCUCUCUCCUCCCCAAUCCCCACAUCUCCUCCUCCCCCGACGGACGUGGCCAGCGGCAGCUCGUGGAGCUCCGUGUUGGUCAGCCGCAGCAGGAGGAGCUCGUGGAGGCGAGCAGCAGCAGGUCGCGCGCCGCGGUGGCGGGCCAGAGGAGGCGCGGCGGCGCCGAGGGUGAUGGCGGCGCACCGUCCGCCUAGGGUUUCUGACUACCGGAGCUUCAGGUGGAGGACGAUGGCGCCGCCACCUCUCCUUGCUGCCGGUUGAGCAGCCGCACUCGUCCGCAGGGGACGCAGGAUGAUGAGCUCGACCUCCACACGUCCCUAGGUCCAUGGCGGCCAGUAGCGGCUUGUCUGCCGCCGCCCUCUCCACCUCAUCCCCGUCCAGAGCAGGUGUUCCUCCCGCUCCACGAGCCCGGCAGAUCUCAGUUGGUGGCUUGUGGGGAAAACACGGGAGGGGGCCGCUCGUCCCCAGAGUCGCCCGUCAUCUCCAUCUCCCUGGACUCCUCCUUCCAGGGAACUCCACCUCCAACAGCUCACCCCGACUCCACAGCGACCGGCAGCAGGGGCGCUCGCCCGAGUCUCCUGGAUUUGCAGGGUCCUAUAUUCUAGAUGCUCAAGAUGGAAUAAUUUUAUCUGCCAAUUUAUUUAACAUCCAGAAGGAGGCCCUUCAUUCUGCAGAAGUAUCCCGUGAGGAAGAUCUGUUGAAGUACUCUUAUGAUCUUAUCUUGUUGGUAUGCAGCUUGUUGUGGUGGAUUAAAUAUAUUGCUUCAACCCAUUUUGCAAAGCUGGAUUUCUGUUAGGAGGGGCGUCUACAGUGUUUCCUUAACAUCAGCUAGGGGAAGAGACCAUGGGAAGCAAGGGGAAAGUUUGGAAGUUGGCACAUUUGAAAGGAGAAGAGAAUAUCGAGAAUCAGACAUAAGAGAUUGGUCAAGAAGAAGAAAUAGAACAAGGUGUUUUCUGUCUUUUUGAACAAUCGAGCUUGUGCCUGCCUUUUGAUGUUAAUAUUUGUGCCAAAUUUUUGAACCCGCUGCAUCGUAAAGAACUACUUUGAAGAAAAUAUGUAAUUGGCUACUUGGUUCUUUGCCUGCGGUUGUUGCUUAUGCGCCCUGCUCCGCCCACCACGGAGCCCCUCACGCAGGGAUAUGGCUCAUUUGUUUUCUCAAGACAAGAAAAGUGCUUUAGUUAUUUUACAGCUAUUUUAAUUGUUGGUGCAAAUGGGGUGCCAUUUGAUGUCUGUUGUCAAUGGAGAUUGACCAUGAUGAUGGCGGCAUAUGAAUGAAGAUGACAAUGCUUUGGAUGAUGCUAAUAAGUACAAUGAUAUGGAGGUGGGCCAAAUUCCUCCCAUGAGCAAGCAGCAUCUCUGAUACUGGUUAAAGUGAGCUUCUCUGUCGUGAUUAUUUCUUCUUCUGAUGUGUUCUUCUCAUUCAGUAUCUUCGUCCCCAUGUAGAUCCACUCCGGUUUUCAACUCAUGCCUCCCCUACUAACCAUGCUAUUUUUGGGUGCUCUACUUACUGCUUAUUCUCUACUCUUUGCCUCCGAGAUAAGGAGAUUGAGGUAGCUAUAACUGAAGAGCUACAGGGCUACUCAAAAACUUGAGUAGGCCAUUGGUUUGAAGGUGGUUUUUGGUUGAGAUAAAAGAGCUCCAAUUACAGUAGACACUUCUUAUGAGAAUCAACCUGGUGAAGGUGUAUAAUUUUUUUCUCCACUCAAUAGACUAGGUAUAAAUUCACUGAGUUUCCAAAUAACCAAAAACUCAUAAUAAAACAGCCACCAUGUAAUCUCCUCUAUAUGAAGAAAAACGAGUAAACCUGCAAAGCAAUGAAUAACACAAGAUGCAAUUCAUAAAGCAAAUCCAGAGAGAGAGAGAGGUGAGGUCAAGAGUGAGGGCAUAUCAUCUUAUUAGAAAUAUGGUGGCUGUUUUUAUACCUAAUGCUCAAUGGCGAAUGCUUAGUUUUAGCUGCAGAACUGAAUGUCAAACUAAUUCUGAUGGGUCCUCUACAGGGUACAAAAAUGUUCAUGUUUAACUAGACAUGGUUACGGAUGCCAAUAAGGCUGGUUCUAUUGUUUUACAGUUGGAAUUGAUCAGCUGGGCUGGUGAUACUGACUGCAUAGUGGCAAUUCCUCUUUCUUACCUCUACACCGUGUAUGUCUCUCCGUCUCUGAUCCCUCCUCAUUUAUUUGAUUACUUAGGUAUGUUACAGAUCACUCGCAAUCAUUUUGGUUACUUACAAGCUGAUGGCACUCAUUUAUUUGAACGCCACGUAGCUUCGAUCCAACAAGUUCGGAACAAGAUUAUCGAAGACGCCUGCUGUUUGGCAUCAACGGGGAGAGUUAAGGCUGCUGACCUGAUCAUUAGACCUAGAGAGCCACACUAACUUGUCUUAGCUGAACAACAUCUGCAGUUUUCUCUUUAGAGUUGGUGCCGUUCCUGAUUGCUAUUUGAGCUCCAUAUUUUUGGGGGAGUUAGUGUGCCCAGACUCUUGGAUCGUUUGUGAUGGUUGAACAAGCUUCUUUUUCCUAUUUUCUACAUGAUCGAAGAGCCAACAUGCCAAUUCAGUUAGCGUUUGCCUUGGAGUUAAACAGAAUCCCACAUAUAUUGCUUCCAGGUGUACCUCAAGUUCAGGUCCUACUGUCCAGCCAUCUGUUGCAAAAACGCUCAUGUACAUGCCUCCUAGAUUCUAAUUUGGCAUAACACCAGUCUACCCUUUCCGCAGACCAGUAUGUAACAUGCCAGCUAUGUUCAGAAAUCCAAGUUGGUAGUGCAUACUACAUUUUGUAAAUUUAGAGCAUCAUGAAUCUUAUCUCAUGAUUCAGUUUCAGCUCUUGGGGCCUACACUGAAGUAUCAAGACCAUGUGAGACUGCUAAAUCUGGAUGUAUUCACUAUUUGUAUGUUUAGCUGUUAAGUUCAGUGUUUCUUUGAACAGUAGGUGCACCGGGCUACAUAUGUUGUACUAUUUGUUAGGGAUUAAAUCUCGUGUACUCUGCUAUAUUUGUGCUACCAAAGAACUCUAUGGUGCAUUGACUUAUGUACAAAUCUGCAGGUACAUCUCUGAAAACAGGAUAGACAAUUAUUCCUGGGAGUUUUACGACUGCUUUGUUGACUCCUGUGUACCCCUCGACUGUUUAUUUGAUUUAGGAGUCAGAAGGCUCCAAGUCAAACCAUAGUAUUGUUAGGAUCAGUUUGAACAUACACAUAACAAGAGGUCUAAGUAGUGCCUGUAUUCCAGUAGCAUGUUUAUUCAGAUUCUACAGAAAAAACCAGAGAUCCAAGUUUAUACAGAGAUGUGUGUGCUUAAUGCCUGUUAUCACGAUUCUGAAGUUUUUC